AGGGCACCACCAGGAGUGGAGCCUGCGGCUUAAUUUGACUCAACACGGGAAAACUCACCCGGCCCGGACACUGGAAGGAUUGACAGAUUGAGAGCUCUUUCUUGAUUCAGUGGGUGGUGGUGCGUGGCCGUUCUUAGUUGGUGGAGUGAUUUGUCUGGUUAAUUCCGAUAACGAACGAGACUCUAGCCUAUUAAAUAGAUCGUUGGCUUACAAACGCCGGCGAGACUUCUUAGAGGGACAGGCGGCGAUUCAGCCGCACGAAACAGAGCAAUAACAGGUCUGUGAUGCCCUUAGAUGUCCGGGGCCGCACGCGCGCUACACUGAAGUGAUCAGCGUGCAUUUUGAAACCUACUCUGUCAAGAGUGGGGAACCCAAUGAACCUUCUUCGUGAUUGGGAUAGGGGAUUGUAAUUAUUCCCCUUGAACGAGGAAUUCCCAGUAAGCGCGAAUCAUAAGUUUGCGCUGAUUACGUCCCUGCCCUUUGUACACACCGCCCGUCGCUACUACCGAUUGAAUGUUU
rnacentral:rRNA from 1 species